UUUGUUACAAAGAGUCACGGGAGCGCAGAGAGAGACCCAUGUGACAUCCAGAAGGGGAGGACGAAAACAUCUCAAACACGAGUCAAGGUUUGCACGUUUUCCGUCGGUGCUUCGGGUCUGAGCAGCUGUCCUGCAGGAGUGUCGGAAGAGGGAGGGAGGAGGCAACCAGAGGGAGGAAGGAAACGGGGAUAACGUCACGAAGACACGGAGUAAAACGGGGAGAGCAGCGGUUAAUGGACGAUCCUUGAUGCGGGCCAGAGGAAGGAAAAACUAGAGCCAGUUCUUUUGAUUUUUUACCCCCCCCCCACACGCCCCCCCGCUUACAUUAGACAAAAAAUGUUUUUCCUAACCUUCCGAACGUGAAAAGGUGCGACGCCGUCAGCAGAAAAGGGGCAAAAAAAAAA